UUCAUGACGGGUGAUGGAGUUCCACCUUUAACCGCUCUACUGAGAUGAUGACUCCUGCUGUAGU
rfam:Photobacterium marinum strain AK15 contig44, whole genome shotgun sequence.